CUACGGUGGCUGCAGUGGGGAAUUUUGCGCAAUGGGGGCAACCCUGACGCAGCAAUACCGCGUGAGUGAAGAAGGCCUUUGGGUCGUAAAGCUCUUUUCUAAGGGAAGAUAGUGACGGUACCUUAGGAAUAAGCACCGGCUAACUCCGUGCCAGCAGCCGCGGUAAUACGGAGGGGUGCGAGCGUUGUUCGGAUUUACUGGGCGUAAAGGGCGCGUAGGCGGCCUGACAAGUUAAGGGUGAAAUCCCGGGGCUUAACCCCGGAACUGCUCUUAAAACUGUCAGGCUAGAGAUGGUCAGAGGCGGGUGGAAUUCCAGGUGUAGAGGUGAAAUUCGUAGAUAUCUGGAGGAACACCGGUGGCGAAGGCGGCCCGCUGGGGCCAUUCUGACGCUGAGGCGCGAAAGCGUGGGGAGCGAACGGGAUUAGAUACCCCAGUAGUC
rnacentral:rRNA from 1 species